GAUGAACGCUGGCGGCGUGCCUAAUACAUGCAAGUCGAGCGAACAGACGAGGAGCUUGCUCCUCUGACGUUAGCGGCUGACGGGUGAGUAACACGUGGAUAACCUACCUAUAAGACUUGGAUAACUUCGGGAAACCGGCGCUAAUACCGGAUAAUAUAUUGAACCGCAUGGUUCAAUAGUUAAAGACGGUUUUGCUGUCACUUAUAGCUGGAUCCGCGACGCAUUAGCUAGUUGGUAAGGUAACGGCUUACCAAGGCGACGAUGCGUAGCCGACCUGAGAGGGUGAUCGGCCACACUGGAACUGAGACACGGUCCAGACUCCUACGGGAGGCAGCAGUAGGGAAUAUUCCGCAAUGGGCGAAAGCCUGACGGAGCAACGCCGCGUGAGUGAUGAAGGUCUUCGGAUCGUAAAACUCUGUUAUUAGGGAAGAACAAAUGUGUAAGUAACUAUGCACGUCUUGACGGUACCUAAUCAGAAAGCCACGGCUAACUACGUG
rnacentral:rRNA from 1 species